UACGGAGGGUGCAAGCGUUGCUCGGAAUUAUUGGGCGUAAAGGGCAGGUAGGUGGUCUUAUUUGUCUUGUGUGAAAGCCUUGGGCUUAACCCAAGAAGUGCGCAAGAAACGGUAAGACUAGAGUCCCAGAGAGGCUUGUGGAAUUCCCGGUGUAGCGGUGAAAUGCGUAGAGAUGGGGGAGAACACUCGUGGCGAAGGCGGCCAGCUAGACCAGUUCUGACACUGAGGCGCGACAGCGUGGGGAGCAAACAGG
rnacentral:rRNA from 1 species